rnacentral:tmRNA from 1 species
GGGGACGCGCGGAUUCGACAGUGGAUGUCACCGCGGGAUUGCAGGUCGGGGCGCCUUCCACCUCGUUAACAAGAUGGCAAAAAAAGUAACUGGCGAUAAAGAGCUAGCACUAGCCGCUUAAGCGGCUACGUCAACCACGCCCGAUCCCCGAAGGGGGUGAAUUGGCGCCAAUAGACGGGGUGCAGCCAGUUGGACGCCGAUAAUGCUGGCUAAAGAUCAUCGGCUAGUCUGGUCCUAGUGUGCGCCGGUCGGCGCUGGAUCUUACGAAUUUAAAGAUCGGCUAAGCCUGUAGUAUAUCUCGGUCGGGGUGUCUUCUGGACGGGGAGUUCGACCCUCCCCCGUCUCCACCA